AUCUCAGCUAAGACUUUGUGGGAGCUGUGUGACCUUGAGAAAGUCACCUGACAUCUCUGAGCCUGUGAAAGAGGGAGUCAUCCCAGAGUGAUUCUAAGAAGGGUCAGGAAACUGUUUCAAAAUGAAAUGGUAUAAACGGAGGAUGCUGUGAGAAGCACACCGCCAUCUCGGAGCCUGCGCAUCAGGAACCAGUCUGCUACGGUGAGGAAAUAGACCCAGGAGAUUCAGGCAGAGCCCUGGGUCCCGUGGCCAGCAAGUGACUGAGGCAGCACUCCCCCAGACCUUUGUGACUGGAAAGCUGCUGCCCUCUGGUGCGUUGGGUACCUGCCACAGGUCAUUCAUAAGGAUGUUAAUCAUUUAGAAGGAUGGGAGCUUCCCCUACCUGGAGAAUGCUUUUUCCUGA